ACACCCAUACCACAUUGAAAACAUGGGUUCUCGUUUAAUUACCAAAGUUAAACAACUUCGGGCCUGGUCAGUACUUGGGAGGGUGACCACUUGGUGAUACUGUU